GAGUUUGAUCCUGGCUCAGGACGAACGCUGGCGGCGCGCCUAACACAUGCAAGUCGAACGAGCGAGAGAGAGCUUGCUUUCUCAAGCGAGUGGCGAACGGGUGAGUAACGCGUGAGGAACCUGCCUCAAAGAGGGGGACAACAGUUGGAAACGACUGCUAAUACCGCAUAAGCCCACGGCUCGGCAUCGAGCAGAGGGAAAAGGAGUGAUCCGCUUUGAGAUGGCCUCGCGUCCGAUUAGCUAGUUGGUGAGGUAACGGCCCACCAAGGCGACGAUCGGUAGCCGGACUGAGAGGUUGAACGGCCACAUUGGGACUGAGACACGGCCCAGACUCCUACGGGAGGCAGCAGUGGGGAAUAUUGCACAAUGGGGGAAACCUUGAUGCAGCGACGCCGCGUGGAGGAAGAAGGUCUUCGGAUUGUAAACUCCUGUUGUUGAGGAAGAUAAUGACGGUACUCAACAAGGAAGUGACGGCUAACUACGUGCCAGCAGCCGCGGUAAAACGUAGGUCACAAGCGUUGUCCGGAAUUACUGGGUGUAAAGGGAGCGCAGGCGGGAAAGCAAGUUGGAAGUGAAAUCCAUGAGCUCAACCCAUGAACUGCUUUCAAAACUGUUUUUCUUGAGUAGUGCAGAGGUAGGCGGAAUUCCCGGUGUAGCGGUGGAAUGCGUAGAUAUCGGGAGGAACACAGUGGCGAAGGCGGCCUACUGGGCACCAACUGACGCUGAGGCUCGAAAGUGUGGGUAGCAAACAGGAUUAGAUACCCUGGUAGUCCACACUGUAACGAUGAUUACUAGGUGUUGGAGGAUUGACCCCUUCAGUGCCGCAGUUAACACAAUAAGUAAUCCACCUGGGGAGUACGACCGCAAGGUUGAAACUCAAAGGAAUUGACGGGGGCCCGCACAAGCAGUGGAGUAUGUGGUUUAAUUCGACGCAACGCGAAGAACCUUACCAAGUCUUGACAUCCUGCGACGGUGCUGGAAACAGUACUUUCCUUCGGGACGCAGAGACAGGUGGUGCAUGGUUGUCGUCAGCUCGUGUCGUGAGAUGUUGGGUUAAGUCCCGCAACGAGCGCAACCCUUAUGGUCAGUUACUACGCAAGAGGACUCUGGCCAGACUGCCGUUGACAAAACGGAGGAAGGUGGGGAUGACGUCAAAUCAUCAUGCCCUUUAUGACUUGGGCUACACACGUACUACAAUGGCGUUAAACAAAGAGAAGCGAGACCGCGAGGUGGAGCAAAACUCAGAAACAACGUCCCAGUUCGGACUGCAGGCUGCAACUCGCCUGCACGAAGUUGGAAUUGCUAGUAAUCGCAGAUCAGCAUGCUGCGGUGAAUACGUUCCCGGGCCUUGUACACACCGCCCGUC
rnacentral:rRNA from 1 species